CAGCAGCCGCGGUAAUACGUAGGGUGCGAGCGUUAAUCGGAAUUACUGGGCGUAAAGCGUGCGCAGGCGGCUUUGCAAGACAGAGGUGAAAUCCCCGGGCUCAACCUGGGAACUGCCUUUGUGACUGCAAGGCUAGAGUACGGCAGAGGGGGAUGGAAUUCCGCGUGUAGCAGUGAAAUGCGUAGAUAUGCGGAGGAACACCGAUGGCGAAGGCAAUCCCCUGGGCCUGUACUGACGCUCAUGCACGAAAGCGUGGGGAGCAAACAGGAUUAGAUACCCUGGUAGUCCACGCCCUAAACGAUGUCAACUGGUUGUUGGACGGCUUGCUGUUCAGUAACGAAGCUAACGCGUGAAGUUGACCGCCUGGGGAGUACGGCCGCAAGGUUGAAACUCAAAUGAAUUGACGG
rnacentral:rRNA from 1 species